UUAAAGAAACAAAAUCCUACCAUGUGUAUUUUUGUGGAACAAAAGACUGCCAUGUGCUAAUUGAUAAAUAUUUUUGUCAGACUGUUGUAGGAAAAGAUACAAUUGCUCCUCUUGUUUUGCAGCCUUUGAAGAAUGCAUUUCUUCUUACAUUUUUAUUUAAUCUUUUCUUUUUAUUAGAGCUUCAGUUGAAUUGGCUGAUUAUUGUUUUGUAUAAAACGAUGAUGUGUUAUUGGAUUUUUAUCAUAAACUUGUAUGGAACAGUGCAUUUUUAUUGUUGGCAAGUUUUUUUUUUUUUUUGUUUUGUUUUUUUACCCGUCAUUCUUGGCUCCGGAUGAAGAUUCUGACCUGUGACCUCUGUGUCUGUCCACCGUGUCAGCCUAUGAAAUACAGAAACAUCAGCAUUUAGAAUUUGAUACGUUUAUGGUUGUGAAAUGUUUAGAUCAAUUGUUUUAUUGUUGUACUAAACCCUAAAAAACAAACACAUACUUGUCACUUUCUGUAUUUCACUUCAGCUUUGAAGUACUGGAGAAACUUCAAUAUAAAAUUGGCCUGAUGAGAAAAAGGAACUAUGUUCCCCUGCUGGUUUUGACAUGUUUGAAUUGAUAACAUAUUAUGACCUUUAUUCUGUACCUUAAAAGAGGCCUGGGGCAUGUGUGGAGGUAACCCAGAUUAUUCAAACUAAAACCAAAUGGUAGUGUGAGGGUAAAUUGGAAGUUGAGUGUCUAAGCAAAAUGAAAAUAGAAAUAUGUUAAAUAUUGGAGCUCUACAGUGUUAAAGUAUGUCUUUUUCUCGGUCCUGUUGACCAAAGGAAAUGCUGCGUUUAAAAAAAUGUAGGAUCUGAAGAAAAAAUAACAUUGUUUAGCCUUACUUUUAUUUUUUAACCUACUUUUAUCUCUACUCACCUGCCCCUGCUUGGCUUUGAUUAUAGCUAAUUGAGUUCAGCUGUUGUAGAAUUUUCAGGAAGAUGAAAACUUCAGCAUCUCGCAGCAGGAGCCGUGUUUUAAAAUAUGUUUGAAGCAAAUUGAUCUCAUUAUUGGAAUAUACUUGACAACAACACAACAUUACAAAUGUGAUAAGAACACGGUGUGGACUAUUGAUGAUGUGGACAGGACAUGGAAACACCGACAUGGACAAAACUGGACAUCACUCUAAAACGAAUCUGAGGACGAGAAGGAAGAAGCUCCGAAAAAUGCAGAAGAGCACAUCAUUCUAACUGUGUCCGAAAUCCUCAAUGCAAAUACCACAACAGUCUUAGUCUCCGACAGCAGUGACAGUCGACGCGGCGCCGGACUGACCCGCUCCCUCCAUUCUCCUGACGCAGAAGAUUAGGACACGAAUAACCUGCACCAUGGUGGGACACGUCACACUAAAGGGACCAAUAUGGAAAUAGUCCUCACUGCUGCUGCUGCUGCUGCUGCUGCUGCUGCUGCUGCUGGACUGGAACCUCCUGCUGGUGCGUGGUAAAUGGAGGGACUGGGACCCACACAUUUGGACGUUUCCACCUGGGACUGUGCAACGAGAUAGGGGGACAUCGAUCGACCUCCUCCUCCCGCCUCUUGUCCUCUCACACGUCCUCACCCUGAGACAGGACCCCGGGUGAGGACUGACAGCGGGGCAAAUCCCGAC